rnacentral:ncRNA from 1 species
AAAAAAACGUUGAAUGAGGCAUAGUAGUGAGGACUAGCUAUUCAGGGAGAGAAUAUCGUAGACUGAAAGUAUUCUUAUAGAGAUAGCUCAUGAAUUCACCUUAUGAGUGGUGCUAAUCACACCCGGGAACUCCCCGUUAUCUGUUUUGAGUGGACAAGUCAAUGAUUUGUCAAUAAAGGUGGUACCGCGUGUGAAACGUCCUUUUU